rnacentral:tRNA from 1 species
GCGCCCUUAGCUCAACGGGAUAGAGCACCUGCCUUCUAAGCAGGCGGUUGCAGGUUCGAGUCCUGCAGGGCGCGCCA